rnacentral:rRNA from 1 species
UACGUAGGGGGCGAGCGUUAUUCGGAUUUACUGGGCGUAAAGCGCGUGUAGGCGGCUGGUUAAGCGUGAUGUGAAAUCUCCGGGCUCAACCCGGAAACUGCAUUGCGAACUGGCCUGGCUGGAGUGCAGGAGAGGGUAGUGGAAUUCCCGGUGUAGCGGUGAAAUGCGUAGAUAUCGGGAGAAACACCAGUGGCGAAGGCGACUACCUGGCCUGUAACUGACGCUGAGACGCGAAAGCGUGGGGAGCAAACCGG